AGUGAACGCUGGCGGUAGGCCUAACACAUGCAAGUCGAACGGCAGCACAGUAAGAGCUUGCUCUUACGGGUGGCGAGUGGCGGACGGGUGAGGAAUACAUCGGAAUCUACUUUUUCGUGGGGGAUAACGUAGGGAAACUUACGCUAAUACCGCAUACGACCUACGGGUGAAAGCAGGGGAUCUUCGGACCUUGCGCGAUUGAAUGAGCCGAUGUCGGAUUAGCUAGUUGGCGGGGUAAAGGCCCACCAAGGCGACGAUCCGUAGCUGGUCUGAGAGGAUGAUCAGCCAACCUGGAACUGAGACACGGUCCCGACUCGUACGAGAGGACGCAGUGGGGAAUAUUGGACAAUGGGCACAAGCCUGAUGCAGCAAUACCGAGUGGGUGAAGAAGGCCUUCGGGUUGUAAAGACCUGUUGUUGGGAAAGAAAAGCAGAAGGUUAAUCCCCCGCUGUUCUGACGGUACCCAAAGAAUAAGCACCGGCUAACUUCGUG
rnacentral:rRNA from 1 species